rnacentral:tRNA from 1 species
CAGGGAGUAGUUAAAAUAGAACAACAUCUCUCUUACACUGAGAAAGUCCUCGUGCAAAUCGAAGCCCCCUGA